GACAGAGGAGCCAAGCGUUGUCCGGACUGACUGGGCGUAAAGCGCCCGCAGGCGGCCGACUAAGUCCGACGUGAAAUCCCCAGGCUUAACCUGGGAACUGCGUCGGAUACUGGCCGGCUUGAAUUCGGGAGAGGGAUGCAGAAUUCCAGGUGUAGCGGUGAAAUGCGUAGAUAUCUGGAGGAAUACCGGUGGCGAAGGCGGCAUCCUGGACCGACAUUGACACUGAACGGCGAAAGCUAGGGGAGCAAACGGG
rnacentral:rRNA from 1 species